GGAUCCGCUAGUAGAGACUUCUGCACUCCUGUGACCUGGCAGACUUCACUGAGGCAGAGCAGGCCCCUGAGUGCAGGCUUAGGGCAGUAGAUUUUUAAAAAAGUUUUGGGGCACAGACGUCUAGGUCUUCCUCCAGGCCUGAAUAAUGAUGUGGUGACACAUUAUUGGCUGGGUGACAGAAGAUGCCAACUGAAGUGGACACAGAAGAAAGAGUUCUUUAUAUUUAAUUGGAAAUGCUUGCACUGUGUGGAGCCAGAAAUUUAAAGCUCUUUUUUCUCUCCCCUUUUUAGUAAAUUUUGUGGCCAACUAAUGAUUUCAUAACCACAGGAAUUGAAAGCCAUGGACAUCAAGUAUUCAUGCAGUUCGUGGAAGAAACUUCUGUGUGCAGAGCGGGAGACCACUAAAGUUACUCCUGGCACAGGUUUCAAUGAUAUUUGCAGUAAAAUUAGUCUGAUGCCAAAAUGCUGUAACCCACCUGGUGCCUGCUACUAGAGAUGAUCUUGAGCCUUAAAUAAUGCAAAAAAAAAAUACAAAUAAAAAAAUCCUUUAACGGCAACCUGCAUAUUUUUAUAAGAUGAAGCAAGAAUCCUGAACACCUAAAUUGGACUAAGCUCUUCAGGCCAUUGCCUGAAGAGAUCAUAUGUCUGGUUCCUAGUAAUAUGGUGCUUUAAUCAUGACAGGGGCCUCCGCAUGCUACUACAAUACAAAUAAUGUAGCAGUUAAGAGACUUUCAAGCUUGUUUCAAGGCAUUUUUGGAUCUUUCAAAUUAGUUGGAGCAGAAAAGGAUUGUGUCUAGUGACUUGUAACAAUGUGCCCCAAAUUUAAAGGAAAUGACAAGAUACAAUUAAAGCUCAGGAAUGUAGCACUGCAUAAGGUCACGUUUGGAAGGUUUCUUCACAAUCUCUGGGCUGGAAUGUUUUAUAAAUCUCAAAGCUUAAAUUCUGCAGAAACUAACUGAUCCAUUGGAGCAGUGUUCUUAUUGUGACUGCCCCAUCUACUGUUCUUUUGAGGCUGCAGAUGCUGUUCAAUAUCGUCUGGUGAACAGCGGCGGUCCCAUCUGACUGGCAAAAAAGCAUUAAUUUACCACUUUGGAAAGGCAAAGGCAACAAAUGAGACUGUUCUAACUAUUGCAGCCGUACUCUUCUGUCUGUCAUGGGGAAAGUUUUUGCUUCUACCUUAUAGGCCCAAACCACUGAUAUCUUAAGGAUCAAGAGAAGACAACAACAAGCUGGCUUCACUCCCACAGUGAAGCAAAACUUCACAGUGCACCAGCUUAUUGAGAUGGCAUGAGAAUCCGGUUCACAUUGCACUGGUGGAUCUCAAGACUGCAUUUGACUCUCUUGACAGGGAAUUGCUUUGGCUGAUCUUGAAAUUUAUGGCAUCUCCAACAAGCUUUGUAGAAUACUCCAUCUCCGAUGACUCCUCAAGCUGUGUUCUUGUAUAUGGGGAAAGAGCCAUCUUCUUACAAAUGAAGUCAGGCAUUCAACCAGGAUGAGCUGUCACCCCAGCACUCUGCAAAGGCAUCAGAUUAUGUGCUUGGCCCGACACUAAGUAAAUGCAUUUUAGACAUAGGCCUUAAUGAUAAGAACCUCACCAUUGUCCAUUUUGCUGCUGACAUACUGCUAGUGGUUGAAUCAGUGGAUGAGCUAGUUGCAGCAUUUAAAGCCCUGGAAAGUUCAGCAGCAAAAGUUGGCUUGAAAAUUAAUUGGGGUAAAACCAAAAUUCUUCCAGUCAGUGAUUUUGAACAUUUUUCAGGCUCUAGCAGCUUAGUGGGCAACCACCCAGUCGAGAGAGUCAGG